rnacentral:rRNA from 1 species
AUUGAACGCUGGCGGCAGGCUUAACACAUGCAAGUCGAGCGGUAGAAAGUAGCUUGCUACUUUUGAGAGCGGCGGACGGGUGAGUAAUGCGUGGGAAUCUACCUGGUAGUGGGGGACAACAGUUGGAGACGACUGCUAAUACCGCAUACGCCCUACGGGGGAAAGCGGGGGAUCUUCGGACCUCGUGCUAUCAGAUGAGCCCGCGUGAGAUUAGCUAGUUGGUGGGGUAAAGGCCUACCAAGGCGACGAUCUCUAGCUGGUCUGAGAGGAUGAUCAGCCACACUGGGACUGAGACACGGCCCAGACUCCUACGGGAGGCAGCAGUGGGGAAUAUUGGACAAUGGGCGCAAGCCUGAUCCAGCCAUGCCGCGUGUGUGAAGAA